CAGCCGUAAACUAUGCGCGUUAGGUGUACUGGUGACCACGAGUCACCGGGGUGCCGAAGGGAAACCGUGAAACGUGCCGCCUGGGAAGUACGGUCGCAAGGCUGAAACUUAAAGGAAUUGGCAGGGGAGCACCACAACGGGUGGAGCCUGCGGUUUAAUUGGAUUCAACACCGGAAAACUCACCAGGGGAGACUGUUACAUGAAACCCAGACUAAUGAUCUUGGUUGAUUUUCAGAGAGGAGGUGCAUGGCGUCAGUGACUGU
rnacentral:rRNA from 1 species